UACGGAGGGUGCAAGCGUUAUCCGGAUUCACUGGGUUUAAAGGGUGCGUAGGUGGGAAUGUAAGUCAGUGGUGAAAUCUCCGUGCUUAACAUGGAACUGCCAUUGAUACUAUGUUUCUUGAAUUUUCUGGAGGUCAGCGGAAUAUGUCAUGUAGCGGUGAAAUGCUUAGAUAUGGCAUAGAACACCAAUUGCGAAGGCAGCUGACUACAGGGACAUUGACACUGAGGCACGAAAGCGUGGGGAUCAAACAGG
rnacentral:rRNA from 1 species